CGAGGUUCGAGGAGUGAUCGAAGCAAUCGAACUCGGGGGCCGUGUGAUCUGCAUAUCACAAUUGAAACUUGUUCUUCACUAUAAACACAGAUCCGAACUGUCUCCGGCUGGAAAUGUACAGCAGCGGCGAGAAUACAGCCCAAACCCUUACAUCAACGGUGGAGAGAAGUGGAGGCGACGACGAGAAGAUUGGAUUCCAAAUUCAAAGAGCCGGUUCUUUGUAACCGGAAAACCAAUAAUAUUGUAAUUAUCGGUUUAGGAUACUAUUUGAUUUGGUUUAAGAAUUAAGACAGUAAUAUAUCUGGUUUUGAUAAAGAA